rnacentral:lncRNA from 1 species
CGUUACGGUUGAUAGUCGUGGAUUCAAAUAUUCCUGCCAGUUGUUAACCCUAAUCCUUCGUAUAAAUAGAUAAUCAUUGGGUAUUAAAUGUAUAAGAGCCGGUGGCUGUGCUGUGUAGAAAAGAGGGCGUGUGAGAGAGAGUUGCUUCCCCAUCUCUUGUACUCUUAUAAACUUUCUAAUUAUAUAGUGAAAAUUUUCUAUGCGCCCAUCGACGUAGGAGC